CCUACGGGUGGCAGCAGUGGGGAAUAUUGCACAAUGGGGGAAACCCUGAUGCAGCGACGCCGCGUGAGUGAAGAAGUAAUUCGGUAUGUAAAGCUCUAUCAGCAGGGAAGAAAAUGACCGUUACUGAGUAAGAAGCCCCCGCUAACUACGUGCCAGGAGCCGGGGUAAUACGUAGGGGGCAAGCGUUAUCCGGAUUUACUGGGUGGAAAGGGGGCGUAGACGGCAAGGCAAGUCAGAAGUGAAAGGGGAGGGCUCAACCCCGGUACAGCUCUGGAAACUGUAGGGCUGGAGUGCAGGAGAGGUAAGUGGAAUUCCUAGUGUAGCGGUGAAAUGCGUAGAUAUUAGGAGGAACACCAGUGGCGAAGGCGGCUUACUGGACUGUAACUGACGUUGAGGCUCGAAAGCGUGGGGAGCAAACAGGAUUAGAUACCCGUGUAGUC
rnacentral:rRNA from 1 species